rnacentral:rRNA from 1 species
GUGAGUAACGCGUAUCCGACCUGCCCACCACUUGCGGAUAACCUUGCGAAAGUAAGACUAAUACCCAAUGACCUCUCUAGAAGACAUCUGACAGGGAUUAAAGAUUUAUCGGAGAUGGAUGGGGAUGCGUCUGAUUAGCUUGUUGGCGGGGUAACGGCCCACCAAGGCCACGAUCUGUAGGGGUUCUGAAAGGAAGGUCCCCCACAUUGGAACUGAGACACAGUCCAAACUCCUACGGGAGGCAGCAAAUGAUGAAUAUUGGUCAAUGGACGAGAGUCUGAACCAGCCAAGUAGCGUGCAGGAUGACGGCCCUAUGGGUUGUAAACUGCUUUUAUAAGGGAAUAAAGUGAGUCUCGUGAGACUUUUUGCAUGUACCUUAUGAAUAAGGACCGGCUAAUUCCGUGCCAGCAGCCGCGGUAAUACGGAAGGUCCGGGCGUUAUCCGGAUUUAUUGGGUUUAAAGGGAGCGUAGGCCGGAGAUUAAGCGUGUUGUGAAAUGUAGAUGCUCAACAUCUGAACUGCAGCGCGAACUGGUUUCCUUGAGUACGCACAAAGUGGGCGGAAUUCGUGGUGUAGCGGUGAAAUGCUUAGAUAUCACGAAGAACUCCGAUUGCGAAGGCAGCUCACUGGAGCGCAACUGACGCUGAAGCUCGAAAGUGCGGGUAUCGAACAGGAUUAGAUACCCUGGUAGUCCGCACGGUAAACGAUGGAUGCCCGCUGUUGGUCUGAAUAGGUCAGCGGCCAAGCGAAAGCAUUAAGCAUCCCACCUGGGGAGUACGCCGGCAACGGUGAAACUCAAAGGAAUUGACGGGGGCCCGCACAAGCGGAGGAACAUGUGGUUUAAUUCGAUGAUACGCGAGGAACCUUACCCGGGCUUGAAUUGCAGAGGAAGGAUUUGGAGACAAUGACGCCCUUCGGGGCCUCUGUGAAGGUGCUGCAUGGUUGUCGUCAGCUCGUGCCGUGAGGUGUCGGCUUAAGUGCCAUAACGAGCGCAACCCCUCUCCUUAGUUGCCAUCAGGUUAAGCUGGGCACUCUGGGGACACUGCCACCGUAAGGUGUGAGGAAGGUGGGGAUGACGUCAAAUCAGCACGGCCCUUACGUCCGGGGCUACACACGUGUUACAAUGGCAGGUACAGAGAGACGGUCCUUUGCAAAACGGAUCAAAUCCUUAAAGCCUGUCUCAGUUCGGACUGGGGUUUGCAACCCGACCCCACGAAGCUGGAUUCGCUAGUAAUCGCGCAUCA